rnacentral:rRNA from 1 species
UACAGAGACCUCAAGCGUUAUCCGGAAUCAUUGGGCGUAAAGCGUACCGAUAGGUGGUUUAUUAAGUCUGGGGUAAAAGCCGGAAGCUCAACUUCCGCGUUUUGCUUUAGAUACUAAUAGACUAGAGGGGCAAAGAGGUGCUUGGAACCAACGGUGUAGUAGUGAAAUGCGUUGAUAUCGUUGGGAACACCGAAAGCGAAGGCAGAGCACUGGGUGCCACCUGACACUGGAGGUGCGAAAGCGUGGGGAGCAAACAGG